rnacentral:rRNA from 1 species
GAGUUUGAUCCUGGCUCAGAUUGAACGCUGGCGGCAGGCUUAACACAUGCAAGUCGAGCGGAAACGAUGGGAGCUUGCUCCCAGGCGUCGAGCGGCGGACGGGUGAGUAACGCGUAGGAAUCUACCCAGUAGCGGGGGAUAGCCCGGGGAAACCCGGAUUAAUACCGCAUACGCCCUAAGGGGGAAAGGCCGGGAUCUUCGGACCGGUCACUAUUGGAUGAGCCUGCGUAAGAUUAGCUUGUUGGUGGGGUAAAGGCCUACCAAGGCGACGAUCCUUAGCUGGUCUGAGAGGAUGAUCAGCAACACUGGGACUGAGACACGGCCCAGACUCCUACGGGAGGCAGCAGUGGGGAAUCUUAGACAAUGGGGGCAACCCUGAUCUAGCGAUGCCGCGUGAGUGAUGAAGGCCUUAGGGUCGUAAAGCUCUUUCGCCAGAGAUGAUAAUGACAGUAUCUGGUAAAGAAACCCCGGCUAACUCCGUGCCAGCAGCCGCGGUAAUACGGAGGGGGUUAGCGUUGUUCGGAAUUACUGGGCGUAAAGCGCACGUAGGCGGAUUAAAAAGUUAGAGGUGAAAUCCCAGGGCUCAACCCUGGAACUGCCUUUAAAACUAGUAGUCUAGAGUUCGAGAGAGGUGAGUGGAAUUCCAAGUGUAGAGGUGAAAUUCGUAGAUAUGUGGAGGAAUACCGGUGGCGAAGGCGGCCUCCUGGCUCGAUACUGACGCUGAGGUGCGAAAGCGUGGGGAGCAAACGGGAUUAGAUACCCUGGUAGUCCACGCCGUAAACGAUGUCUACUAGCCGUUGGGAGACUUGAUCUCUUAGUGGCGCAGCUAACGCAAUAAGUAGACCGCCUGGGGAGUACGGCCGCAAGGUUAAAACUCAAAUGAAUUGACGGGGGCCCGCACAAGCGGUGGAGCAUGUGGUUUAAUUCGAUGCAACGCGAAGAACCUUACCAGGUCUUGACAUCCUCGGAACUUUCCAGAGAUGGAUUGGUGCCUUCGGGAACCGAGAGACAGGUGCUGCAUGGCUGUCGUCAGCUCGUGUCGUGAGAUGUUGGGUUAAGUCCCGUAACGAGCGCAACCCUUGUCCUUAGUUGCCAGCACGUAAUGGUGGGAACUCUAAGGAGACUGCCGGUGACAAACCGGAGGAAGGUGGGGACGACGUCAAGUCAUCAUGGCCCUUACGACCUGGGCUACACACGUGCUACAAUGGUCGGUACAGAGGGUUGCCAAGCCGCGAGGUGGAGCUAAUCCCACAAAGCUUGUCGUAGUCCGGAUUGGAGUCUGCAACUCGACUCCAUGAAGUCGGAAUCGCUAGUAAUCGUAGAUCAGAAUGCUACGGUGAAUACGUUCCCGGGCCUUGUACACACCGCACGUCACACCAUGGGAGUGGGUUGCAAAAGAAGUGGGUAGACGAACCUUCGGGAGGUCGCUCACCACUUUGUGAUUCAAGACUGGGGUGAAGUCGGAACAACGUAGCC